AUUGAACGCUGGCGGCAUGCCUUACACAUGCAAGUCGAACGGCAGCACGGGAGCAAUCCUGGUGGCGAGUGGCGAACGGGUGAGUAAAGUAUCGGAACGUGCCCAGUCGUGGGGGAUAACGUAGCGAAAGUUACGCUAAUACCGCAUACGAUCUAUGGAUGAAAGCGGGGGAUCGCAAGACCUCGCGCGAUUGGAGUGGCCGAUAUCAGAUUAGGUAGUUGGUGGGGUAAAGGCUCACCAAGCCGACGAUCUGUGGCUGGUCUGAGAGGACGACCAGCCACACUGGGACUGAGACACGGCCCAGACUCCUACGGGAGGCAGCAGUGGGGAAUUUUGGACAAUGGGCGAAAGCCUGAUCCAGCCAUGCCGCGUGCAGGAUGAAGGCCUUCGGGUUGUAAACUGCUUUUGUACGGAACGAAAAGGUUUGGCCUAAUAAGCUGAGCUCAUGACGGUACCGUAAGAAUAAGCACCGGCUAACUACGUGCCAGCCGCCGCGGUAA
rnacentral:rRNA from 1 species